CCGGAGUGUUUUGUUUCCUUGAGAAGAGGCAGCACCUGGCGGAUAGUGCGUGUUCAGGCUUGGCAACAUGUGACCGAAAGUCUACAUGUUAACUUUGGACACACUUGUUGAAGUGAAAGCAGCGUUAGAGCACUUCGUUAGCCCCUCCCUCCUCAGGGAGCAGAAGAGCCGGGAGAGUCGCAGCUAUAGGCCGAGGAAAGCAUCAGUCCAGCGGGUUGGAAUCUCUCACCGCCCCGCUGAAUGCGUGCGCCAUCCAGGUUCAGCAAGGCACUUCACACUGGUCUGGUGUCAUAUCUGUGGCUUUUCAUACAAUGGGUCCGGAUGACUAUCAACUGCUGCUAAAUGCAUUGAACUGGAAGCCUGACAUUACUAGUUUGAGCUUUACAAUAGUCUAUGUAGGCCCUAUGGAAAGUGUGUGGUAAGUUUUAUGGUUCUAGGUUUUAAGCUUUACUUGCAUUGAGUUGUCACCAAAAAUAUUGAUUUUAUGCAUUGAUAUGUAGUUCUUAAAAAGCCUAUUUUAGUGUAUAUUCACCCCGACAAUAUGAUGAUUAAAACACAUUAAUAUGAGGUAGGCUACAAAUCAAUAACAUGAGCCGAAGGGCCUCAUGAAAAACACUGCACCUCAAAAAAGAAAGGAGAAGAAACAACACAGUCGAUAAAUUGAUUAGUUAAAUGAAUAUGCAACAAUUUUAAUAAUUUAUAAUUUCAGCCUUUUUUCAGUUAAGAACUGCAAUUAUUCUCUGGUUUCAGCGUCUCCAAUUUGAGGAUUUGCAGCUUUUUUCGGUUUUAAAAUAAUUUCAUAUUUGGAUUUUGGACUGUUUUAUACAUUUUAUUCAGUAAAUAAUUAAUCUAUUAAUCAAUAAUGAAAAUAAUAAUUAAUUGCAGCCCUAUAAUACAUUUAGAGGAUCAAAAAAAUUUGUUCUUAAUAGCAGCAUUCAGAUAUGGAUUUUGCAUUUCUCAGCCAUGUGGUCAGUGCAAACUCAAACAUUUUGAGUUUGUUUUCUUGGCGCCAGUAGGCUACCACACUGCAGUGAGCUUCUCAGAGACAUUGACCAUAUUCACAAAAUUAGUUGUGUUUUUGUUUUAAAAAGGAAAAACAGUGAGACAAGGCACCCCAACACCCCAGUCCCACUCCAUGUAUUUGUUGUCAAGUUCCCUCUCCUGUUUACAUGUACACUGGUUGGGUUGAUGGCAAGCAAAUAAAAGAAGGAAAUAAAAUGGGAAAAACCCUCAAAGAAAUCAUUCUCUAUCAGUUUAUUAUCAGGGGGAUAUCAGGUAGAGGUAGUGUUUAAAGUGAGAAAUAUGCUGGUGUUUGGUAGAGCAAAUUGUUACAUUUUCAGAAAAUAUAUCCAAACCCUGAGACAAAGCCCAGAGUCCCAGAAAUCUGAUUCAAGAUGCCAAAUUGAACACUCCAACACAUGCCAAAAUAUUAGGCCCCCCAUAUCAGUUGGCACUAGUGUUGGCUGUCCUUCUAGGCUUUUUACCAAGCCAGCAAAGAUCUAUCUACCUAAUAUUUCAAUUAAGGUAAUGUUGGUUAUUUUGAUGUGAGAUUCGUUCACCAAGUUGUUUUCCUCUGUGUAUUAACCGUUUUAAUGUGCUAUAAAACACACUUUACAGAUUUUAUUUGGGAAAAGGGCGCUCUGUGCAGUAUACUCACAUUUAUACAGCAUCCCAAAUUUAGCAAUUAAACAGGAAGCGUAUUAGUAAGAAGAAAUACUGUCUGGCUGUUUUAAGAGCAUAAAAAUGGAAAAGGUUGGUGUAUGGAAUGGACCACUGUAUGAGUGUAAAGUACACCUAAUACUAGCAUAUAGUAUAGCUACUAUAGCUGAUUUAAUAAAAAACUAAAAACAUACCUGUAUCACUCCACACAUCACAUCUAACAACUAGAUGUAUAUGCAUAUUACAGAAAAUACCUCUUCACAAUUAAGGAAUAACCAAAGUAUACAUGUUAAAAGUUAUAAUAAAGGCUCUGCUAAUGGUUAAUAUUACGUGACCCUUUUACAUUUUGUAUUAGGUGUGAGCUUCACAUAAUUUGUCUGGGUAAAACUUUCUGAUGACUUUCUUAAAGGUCUUAAAGGCCCUAUCACAUGGUACACCCACACUUUAGACCUCUUCUCAGGAGUAUGAGCAAACUGAGGUUGAUUGACUGCUCCCUCUUCCUGUUAGUUUUGUGGCACCAGUUCAGGUGGGACAACUUUUACUUUUGCCAUUUUUAUUGGUGCAUGGACUUUGGUGACCUCAGCAAUUCCAAAAGGACUAAUCAGCCAUAAUAAAUGAAAGCAACUGUGUUGUUGUGCCUUUAAUUAGGUAUGAUGUAAUUUUAGUAGCAAUACAGGCAAUGUUCUUUUGACUCUCGUAACUGCUUAAAUAACGCCGCCCUGUAAAUAUAUGUAUGCACACACGCAGUACACAACGAUGAGCCUUAAAGUGUAAUUUCUCAUAUUGUAACAGCAUUUGAGGACCAACACUGCCCUCUUCUGUUGAGCUUGAGAACUGCACAUAAGAGAGGCUCAUGUCAGUGCAUCACUUCUGAGAGGACAUUGAAGCAAAGAGGUCUCACUCUUACUCUGUAGUCUCACAGUAGAAUAAACAGGCUGAACAUUGUUACAUCUGUUACUGGAAAUGUCAUAUUCAAAGGUGCCAUAGCAUUUUUAAAGAGGCCUCCAAAAGCUUUAACUCUGUUUUGUUAUCAGUUUUCCCACAAAAUCCUGUAAGGUGGCACAGGAUGUGAAAAUUAUCGUAUCGUAUAUAAUAAAUAAUGUAAUGUUAUAAUGA